GUACACACCGCCCGUCACACCAUGGGAGCCGGAAACGCCCGAAGCCAGCGGCCCAACCGCAAGGGGGGAGCUGUCGAAGGCGGGUCCGGUGACCGGGGUGAAGUCGUAACAAGGUACC
rnacentral:rRNA from 1 species